UAAGAUAGUAAGCGAUGAACUGUAAAUUCAUCAAUAAAGGUUAAGUCCUUUUCUUAU
rnacentral:tRNA from 1 species